rnacentral:rRNA from 1 species
UACAUAGGGUGCAAGCGUUGUCCGGAAUUAUUGGGCGUAAAGAGCUCGUAGGUCGUUUGCCGCGUCGAUUGUGAAAAUCUGAGGCUCAACCUCAGACCUGCAGUCGAUACGGGCAAACUAGAGUGUGGUAGGGGAGACUGGAAUUCCUGGUGUAGCGGUGGAAUGCGCAGAUAUCAGGAGGAACACCAAUGGCGAAGGCAGGUCUCUGGGCCAUAACUGACACUGAGGAGCGAAAGCGCGGGGAGCGAACAGGAUUAGAUACCCUGGUAGUCCGCGCCGUAAACGAUGGGCACUAGCUGUGAGAGCCUUCCACGGUUCUCGCGACGCAGCAAACGCAUUAAGUGCCCCGCCUGGGGAGUACGAUCGCAAGAUUAAAACUCAAAGGAAUUGACGGGGCCCCGCACAAGCAGCGGAGCAUGCGGCUUAAUUCGACGCAACGCGAAGAACCUUACCAAGGCUUGACAUAUAGCGAAAAGUGGCAGAGAUGUCAUGUCCGCAAGGGCGCUAUACAGGUGGUGCAUGGUUGUCGUCAGCUCGUGUCGUGAGAUGUUGGGUUAAGUCCCGCAACGAGCGCAACCCUCGUUCUGUGUUACCAGCAUUCAGUUGGGGACUCACAGGAGACUGCCGGGGUCAACUCGGAGGAAGGUGGGGAUGACGUCAAAUCAUCAUGCCCCUUAUGUCUUGGGCUGCACGCAUGCUACAAUGGCCGGUACAAAGUGCUGCGAAAUCGUAAGAUUUAGCGAGUCACACAAAGCCGGUCUCAGUUCGGAUUGAGGUCUGCAACUCGACCUCAUGAAGUCGGAGUUGCUAGUAAUCGUAGAUCAGCAACGCUACGGUGAAUACGUUCCCGGGGCU